CAGAACCAACCAACAAACCUUGCUAGGAUGGAUUUUUUUCUUGUAUCAACAGUGAAGGUCAAGAGGCAAGUCCACCCUCAAUUCUCCCUAGCCUGACAGACGUUGUUCACAUUAGCCCAUCAAGACCAAUCACAUUCCCUGUGUUAACUUCUUGGAGGAGCUUGAAAGCUUAAGAGGAUACACACAGUCAAACUGGUGUACAGUCGUUUGUUUUACUUUGGAGUUCAGCUACACUUCCUGUUCAAGGAUGAAGAUGGGGCCUAAAGAUUUUUUUGACACCUUAAGAUAAGCGAUUAAAUAAAAUCGCUGAGGCAAAAGUAGGAAGUGAACGUUGGUUAGCUCCAUCUGACAAAGAAAAUAAAACAAGAACUUGUGAAACGGGAGGUAAAAUAUGAAGUGGAAAGCAAGGGACCUAGGACGAUAAAGUAUAAAGCAAGGCAGUAGUUAGAGGCACUCAGGAAGUAGUGAGAGGCAGAGUUGGCCAUGUAGACAGUGACACUGUAAAGGCGUGGUGGGAAGUCAUAGUUCCAAAAGAAGAUAGAUGCAGUUAGGGGAAGAUGCUAAGGGUGACAGCAAUGGUCACCCAGAGCGCCACAUGCUCCUCAGUGCUGAUGUGCAGCCUGGACAGGUCAUUUAAAGACACUAGAAGACAACUCUUCUACUUAAAGAAAGCCUGAAAAUAUGGAUUGGAUAGGUCCCUCAACUAAGAAUCAAAACUCAAUAUUUAUUGGAUGAAUCUAAUACCUAGACUUUUUUUCUAGUUAGAAAUUAAUUUUCAAGAC
rnacentral:lncRNA from 1 species